rnacentral:rRNA from 1 species
UACGUAGGGUGCGAGCGUUAAUCGGAAUUACUGGGCGUAAAGCGCGCGUAGGCGGAUCUGCAAGUCGGGGGUGAAAUCCCGAGGCUCAACCUCGGAACUGCCUUCGAUACUGCGGGUCUCGAGUCCGGGAGAGGUGAGUGGAAUUCCUAGUGUAGAGGUGAAAUUCGUAGAUAUUAGGAAGAAACACCAGUGGCGAAGGCGGCUCACUGGCCCGGUACUGACGCUGAGGCGGCGAAAAGCGUGGGGAGCCAAACAGG